rnacentral:rRNA from 1 species
UACGAAGGGGGGCUAGCGUUGCCUCGGAAUCACUGGGCGUAAAGGGCGCGUAGGCGGACUCUUAAGUCGGGGGUGAAAGCCCAGGGCUCAACCCUGGAAUUGCCUUCGAUACUGAGAGUCUUGAGUUCGGAAGAGGUUGGUGGAACUGCGAGUGUAGAGGUGAAAUCGUAGAUAUUGGGAAGAACACCGGUGGCGAAGGCGGCGACCUGGUCCUUGACUGACGCUGAGGCGCGAAGCGUGGGGAGCAAACAGG